GACCAUAGACUGUACAUAUACUGGACAAUUCGAUUCCAUAGGCUUCAAUAACACGUUAUCUGUCCAUAAUGGGAGGUGUCCACCACCGCCAUUUUGACCGUGUCACAGGUUCCGUCCAGCCCAGACAAUUCCAUAAAAGGGAAGAGAGGAGGCGCUGAGGGUGUGGCUGUAAGGCUGGGCUCGAGUGACGACACCCAGGCGAACUAGCUACGAGCUAACCUGAAGCUAACCCUGGCUAACCCAAAGCUAAAGCGGAGGUGGGAGCCGAGCUAACGGAUGUAGCCACCUAGCUUCAACCCAACCGGAGCUAACUGGAACACCCAUCGACCUGAACCUCACACGGAGUUUAGGUGGAGGUUUUCUGCGCCUGUUCGUGAGAAGUACCUGUAUUAAAAAAGUUUUAAAUCGAUCUAUUAAAAGGUCACCAUGGCAGCCUGUGUGUCUCCAACGUCAGCUACACAACGCAGCGUCCAUUUGGAUCAUUGGUGACAGCUGAGUGAGGCGUGGUGCCCAGAGAGCUGCAGAGACAACCUUGGCCUCCCUGACGUCUGUGUCUCCUGGUUCGGUUGGGGUGGACCAUCGACAUAAAUACCUACAUGUGCCGACACUUUGCGCCCUGUUUUAUAAAAUGUAGUGUUAAAAAUAAAUGUUUUUGCUCAAUUACUGGAAUUUCUUUGGUUAAGACAAAAGUGAGGAAUAAUCAUUUACAAGUUAUUUGUACAACAGGCCCAUUUUAAAUCCCAACAGUUUCUUAGCAGACAAUAGAAAUGUGUUCUUUACUAACUUUACUUGGUUUGAAAAUCUUACUAAAAUAAACUUGAGUGCCGUAUUGCAAAACCCAAUCAUACUUGUUAUGUAAACAUUAGCUUUGUAGAUAUUUUUUACAGAUAUAUAUUUGUGUGCAACAAAAACCAAACUUAAAUAAUUUGUCAUUCUUUAUUGAAAAACAACAAAAUACAGGUAUACAGAAGUGUGGGAAAAUGAUAAUGUGAAAGUAUUGCACUAUAAAUGAAGUGAGAUGAGAUGAAGGUGAGAUGAAGGUGGAUGCCAGCGGGCUGGACGCCGGACGAAGAAACCUGGAGACGGAUCGCUCAGACAGGAAGGGAAGAGCUUCCUCUUACCUUG